UUCGGGUUUGUUUUGGUCGUGCCUUUCUGGUUGCCUAAAUCCGGACCCUCGGGCCAGGCCCCAACACCACCCACUUCCACCCCACUCCCCAUCCCAAUAGAAGGCAAUUUUGUCGCACGUGUCGGAAAUUUUGUUACGGCCGAUUGCUUUUGCUUCCUCUCCCUCUGCGCGAUGGCUUUGACUUUUGUUGUUUCCCCACACAUGCCCAAUGUCAAGGCCUCUUCGAUACAAACGCGAAAAGUCGCCGAAAAUACGCCUUCGCUGCUCUAAAUGAAGGGUGGGAAAUGGUGAACACAAAAGGCAGCCACGCGCCUUUCUAUGGGGAGCAAUACGUAGAAACACAAGCCGAUGGCCCCCAGCGGAUCAACAUACAAAAAUACAUAUAAUACCCACUGAUACCGACAAUUUGAUAACAUUUUGGCAGCGAAAACAAAGUACGCACCUGUCGCAGAACACCUGGCAGCAAAACAGGUUAUUAGGAAUAUUAAAUUAUAUUUUCAUUCAUAUUUUUAGUUAACUGAAAUAUUGUCCAGCUACAGCCACAAGCUAAUUAUCUGUAAUUGCAAAACAAUGAGUGUGCAACCGGAAACCACUUUUCAUUUGUGUACACAUAUUUAUUAUUUGGGGACAAAUGUUAU
rnacentral:sRNA from 1 species